UCAGGCUAUCAAAGCUCACCCCUACCCUCUGCGCGCCAUCUCUCUCCACUGUGGUCUGCCCCUGGGUGGAACUGAAUCAGGGAACCUUCUCUCUGCUCCCUUAUUGGCUAACAUAUCCCCUGUUUUUAAGAGGCUGGGCCUCCCCCAAGAGGCUCCUGGACAGUAUCUGUGCUCCAAAUAAUUUAAAGUCCUGGGUGUAGCCCUGUGAGAGACAGCUGAGAUUUUAAAGCCUUUGGGGAUCCUGCCAAUCAUAUCAGCAGCUGCCCUUGUCCUAACUGGGGUCACGAAUGGCUUCACCACAGCCCUGAAGGGAACUCCCUCACCCCAUCCCAGCCAUCAGAGAAAGAUUGAAUUGUUUCACAUCCUAGACGUAAUCCAAAGUUCACAAUGGUUACCAGAGGGGUCUUCCAGCUCCAGCCAGCCCACCAGAUGCCCAGCUCGGCACCCACACUCCAAGCUGCCAACAGGCAGGGCGGCCAGCCAGACUCAGUGGAGACAGGCCAAGCCCAGAAUUCAGUCCCAGCCUCAUCCUCCAGGCCAGCAGGCAAGGGUAGUUGAGAUAAUGAUGAGGAACAAGAGCGUGGACAAAAUCCCAAGAAGUAAUGAACCCAGGCAUUUCCAGCAUCUGGAGUUGAAAUGAUCUUUAAUUUCAAUUUGGGAGCAAAAAUAACGUGACUGCAGUCAAACCCUCCCCUCACAGCCUGCUCCCUGACAGCUUUGUUACUGCCUGUAAUGCUGACACGGCCUCUGCACCCUGUUCUUUCACCCUCCUUAGCAGCAAUGUUCUUCCUGCCUCAACUUACCUCAACUGAGAAAUGGGUACAGGCCCCACCUGCAAGUGACACAGCUGCCUUUCUGUCCCUGGCUGGGUAUCAGAAGAAAAAACCCAAAAUCCCCCAUAAAGCUCUAUCUUGCUGUCUUCUCUCCACCCUGGGCCAGCAGAUCCCAUCAGUCCCCUCUCUCCCUGCUCCCUAAUACCCUCUCUCUCUUCUGACUCCACCCACCCUUGCCUCUCAGGCCUCUCUCCAACCUGGGCAUACCUUUGUUCCAGCCUGAUCUCCAGGUGCCCUGUGUUAGAAGAAUGCUAAGGCAGCCAAG
rnacentral:lncRNA from 1 species